GGGGAGAGAGAGCAGAGAAGAGGGUCAACCAUUGUCCAGAGUCUACAGCUUCUUGUUCAGAUUCCAAUCCGAUUCAGAAGCUGAAACAUGAGAAGAAAUUAUUUCCAAAGAUCGCCACAACGUCGUUCGCCUCCCUCAACACAAUAGCCUCCGGGAAUGAAAGGAUGACACACCUAUAGUACUUAUGAGACACGAUUCGUAUGGAAUAUAUGUUUGUCUCAAUCUUUUUGAACGAGGGACUUCUUAAAAUGGAUGUAUUUUGGAUUUAUGUACUAUUUUUUCCUUCAUAUAUAUUUACUUGAGAAUAUGGACUUAUGUUGGUAUAUGUAUUAGAAUAUUCUAAGAGUCUAUGUGAGCUUUUUUUUUUUAGGAUUAUAUAGUAUUCCGCUUUUACGUGGGUUGGAAAUUUGAGAAUUCUAUAUAUGUACUUUAAAAUUUCUAAUAUUUUGUAAGUGUAAAUAUGAAUUUACAUUCUUCCACCUAA